GACAGAGGCCUCAAGCGUUAGGCGGAAUCACUGGGCUUAAAGCGUGUGUAGGCGGGUCGUUAAGUACCUUGUGAAAUCCCACGGCUCACCCGUGGAACUGCUGGGCAUACUGGCGAUCUUGAGCAGUCUAGGGGCAGAUGGAACAAGUGGUGGAGCGGUGAAAUGCGUAGAUAUCAUUUGGAACGCCAACGGUGAAGACAGUCUGCUGGGGACUUGCUGACGCUGAGACACGAAAGCCAGGGGAGCGAACGGG
rnacentral:rRNA from 1 species